rnacentral:lncRNA from 1 species
GCCUGUACUGCUGAAACCAAGUCUCUUCAAGUAUCUGUGGGCACUUAAGGCAGCAGGAGCCACCAGAAGAAGGAACUGCCUGGCUGCCAGCACCUGUAGUUUCCACAAAAGGUUUCUCGGUGGCUUUGGAGGCUGUCCUGAAUUAGCUCUUGUAGACCAGGCUGGUCUCGAACUCACAGAGAUCUGCCUGCCUCUGCCUCCUGAGAGCUGGGAUUAAAGGCGGUCUUAAAGCUCCUUCCCCAUGUGUUCAGACACAAGAAAUGUACCUUGUGCUGGCAGCCGAACUUGUAAUGUAAAAGUCACCCAGGUAGCCGGAGAAAUGACCUGAGCCCCUUGAGGAAGCCCACACAGCAUCAUGAGUGAAUCCCAGAUGUUGAGCAUGGAGUUGUUUGCACUGUUGGAACUUGGUUUUGCCUUGUCCAGACUGUGGCUGUGCCCUGCUUCUUCCCUCUUGAAGUAAAACAGCGACUUAAUUCAGUCUUUGAUAUUGUAGGAGCCUCACAGUUGAGAAUAUUUAAGCCAUUUUAGAAAGGAAAUUCCAGAGUCUUUAAAAAGUUUCAAUAAAAAUCCUGGAGUUUGAAAGAAUAUUUAAAUGUAUGAGACUAUGGGACAUUAUAUGUUUAUGUUUUAUAUUAUGAUGUCUUUAUUAGUAUGUGACUUAAGAAGACAAAAUGCUAAAGAGUUAGGGCCACAGCUAUGAGCACCAAAUACUAACCACCAGAAACUGGGAUAUUCCUGCCUUAUGAUGCAGCAAGAUAAUGACUUAAACAGCCUGGCUAAGAGCCUAUAGAAUGUCUCUCUUUCCCAAAGGUCUAUCUAUUCAGGCAACAGAGCCUGACUUCAGAUUGUGUGUCUAGCCUCCUUGUCUUUUCUACUUUGUUAAGCUUUAGCUACUUUGAUAAACUGAGUCAUACAAGAAACAGUUAUAUUCUGUGAUAGUGCACUAUGAAAGGAACAGGAUAAAGUUGCCAAUCUCCCUAUGGACAAUAUUUAUGAUUUAAAGUUUUAUUUGAUACUAAG